rnacentral:tRNA from 1 species
UCUAAUGUGGCAGAAUAGUGCAUUGGAUUUAAGAUCCAAAUAUAAAGACUCUUUCUUUAGAA